rnacentral:tRNA from 1 species
GCUCCGGUAGUAUAGUCCGGUUAAGUAUUUCGGCCUUUCGAGUCGAAGACCCGGGUUCGAAUCCCGGCCGGAGCACCA